CAGCUCUCUUUCACUUCCUCUCUCUCUCUCUUAAAACAAGUUGAACCCUUCGUUCAUGCGCCUCCCUCUCCCAAUCUUUUCAACUUCUUCAUCAUCUUUACUGUCUUAGUAGAUCUCCUGUUAAAUGAUAAAAGUUGUUAAUUGAUGUUCAUAUAAUUGGAUUUAAUGAUAAUUUUUUUUAUUUGUUAUUUGUCUUACUUCUUACUAAAACGGAAAUGAAAGAUUCAGAUCUUGAAUGUUGGUUUAAUUUAUCCAUUAAAAGUUUGAGUUUUGUUUGAUGGUUGUAUUAAUAAUGGUAUUCAAGUACCAGAGUUCCGUUUCUUCUUCCUCUGUAUUAAUCUGCUUACUUGAAAUCUAUAUGAACAUGGUUGUGUUUGGAUUUUCUCAAUGGGUUUAAUUUUUUUUUUUUUCGUUUUUUGAAUGAACAAAUUACCAGGUAAGGUUUGCUCCAAUCAGCUAGCUUAAGUUGAAAAUCAGCUAGCUUAAGUUGAAAAUGGUACAAGAUAUCAGAUUUUAAUGGACCAAAGUUCAUCAUUUAUUUUUGAAGGAACUAGAUCUGGAAUGAGUAUUCAUCUCAAAAUCAGAGUUGGAAAUACAGAUCAGGAUGAUAUUAGGCUUCACCAGUAUGAAUCUUGUUUCUAAGCUUCUCCAGUGAUUUCAAAGGACGGUGAUGCGUGGUGCUUCAGCUUUGUCCACGAGUUUUGAUGGGAUUGUAAUUUUUGUUAUAUUUUUAAGAAAUUGAAUUUUAUUUCUGUAAUUUUGUUUUGAUGGAGAUUGUAUUUUAUAUUAUUCCCUUAAAAAAUAAAAAGUGAAGUUGUAAUUUAUUUAUUUAUUUUCCUUGUAAAAAAAUGAUUAUGUAAAUUGAAUUUUAUUAGAUAAUAAAGUUGACUACUUGAUUUACUA